UACAGAGGUCUCAAGCGUUGUUCGGAUUCAUUGGGCGUAAAGGGUGCGUAGGCGGCGCGGUAAGUCGGGUGUGAAAUCUCGGGGCUUAACUCCGAAACUGCAUUCGAUACUGCCGUGCUUGAGGACUGGAGAGGAGACUGGAAUUUACGGUGUAGCGGUGAAAUGCGUAGAUAUCUGGAGGAACACCGGUGGCGAAGGCG
rnacentral:rRNA from 1 species